UACGAAGGGGGCUAGCGUUGCUCGGAAUUACUGGGCGUAAAGGGCGCGUAGGCGGGUCGUCAAGUUGGGGGUGAAAUCCCGGGGCUCAACCCCGGAACUGCCUUCAAAACUCCCAGUCUGGAGGUCGAGAGAGGUGAGUGGAAUUCCGAGUGUAGAGGUGAAAUUCGUAGAUAUUCGGAGGAACACCAGUGGCGAAGGCGGCUCACUGGCUCGAUACUGACGCUGAGGUGCGAAAGCGUGGGGAGCAAACAGG
rnacentral:rRNA from 1 species